UGUUCCAAAACAUCCUAGAUUUGAGGAAAGUGGCGAGAGUAAUGGCAAGACCCACAUCGAUGCACUGUGGUAGACAUCCCCCUGAAAAUCUUUAGGAAGCUCUGACAACUGAUAAAGCCUCACUGCAGCUCAGCCAGUGGUUGGAGUAGCGGGGAUUCUUAAAUACCACUGAUAUUCGGACAUGUAUUAUUAAAAAUGAAAUGAAUAGAUUGUUCUGAUAAAUACAUGUAUGGAAAUACAGGUAUGGUGUGACCAUUGGCAGGUACUGCAAAGAAGAUCCGACCUGAUAUACAAAGCGUGGUUCCCAAACUUAUGUAGAGAGGAUAAAUUGACUAAAAAUAGGCGUACCAACAUUCUUUAUUAAUAGUAUUACUAUCAUAAAAUUAUCAUACAGAACUCAAACUAUUAAAGCAAUAAAUAAAACUAAAUUAAUUAUGAAAUAAGGAUUUGACCUUCACAUCUCUACAAUGCUAAUCAGGAGCUGCAGAUUCUGUUUGAGGUCUAAACUGGCAAACAAUUGUUUUCUCUUCUCCCUCAAUCCCAAUGUAAAUACUAAUGAAUCUUGGCAAGUCGAAAGUCCGCAUUGAGUCGAGCUGCAGUUUGAAACAACAGAUAUUGCAUUAUUUUAAUCUGUUUUUGAUUAUGCAGUGAGAAAUCCUGAACUUCCAUUCAUACAAGGAAAUGUGAGCUGUUUUGCCCAGUGUGCUGAGUGCUGGCGACCUCUGGUGGUGUAUAAGAUGCAGAUUACUAUCUUUAAAAUGAAUCUAAAGUUGGCAGUUAUGCAGUGUGAUGGAUCUGGUGGCCACUGAGUACCCGUACCUACCACAGGACACCCUGUCUCCAUCCUUUUUUAAAUUAAAAGGAACAAAGCAAGGAGAAGCCAUGUUACCUAAAUAUGGAUCCUUCUGGAAAAAAAAGGAAAGUGUGUAUCAUAUUGCAAAGUCUUUGGUACUUCAUAGUCAGUGAAUUUUUUUUUAAAUUCUGUUGCUGUUUUAGUCAAUCUGCAAACGCUGAUCUGUCACAAGCAACAAUGAGGUGUUUUACACAGUCUACUUAAUAAUAAUUGCAGAAUGGCUGAAUUAUUGCUUGCCAGGGCACUGAGGUUUAAAGCAACUUUCUAUAAAUAUUUAAUAGAAAUAUUGGAGUCAUCAUGCCCGGUUCAUUGAUUAACCACUCACGAUUAACCCCAGGGGUUAGAAACUUCAGGAUAUAAUCCAGAACCUUCAUCGGCCCUCUGUUAGGGGCAAGAAUGUAUUAUUUGUGUAAGAGCAGGGGCAUUCUUCAGGAAAAA